AUUGAACGCUGGCGGCAUGCUUUACACAUGCAAGUCGGACGGCAGCACAGAGAAGCUUGCUUCUUGGGUGGCGAGUGGCGAACGGGUGAGUAACAUAUCGGAACGUACCGGGUAGUGGGGGAUAACUGAUCGAAAGAUCAGCUAAUACCGCAUACGUCUUGAGAGGGAAAGCAGGGGACCUUCGGGCCUUGCGCUAUUCGAGCGGCCGAUAUCUGAUUAGCUAGUUGGUGGGGUAAAGGCCUACCAAGGCGACGAUCAGUAGCGGGUCUGAGAGGAUGAUCCGCCACACUGGGACUGAGACACGGCCCAGACUCCUACGGGAGGCAGCAGUGGGGAAUUUUGGACAAUGGGCGCAAGCCUGAUCCAGCCAUGCCGCGUGUCUGAAGAAGGCCUUCGGGUUGUAAAGGACUUUUGUCAGGGAAGAAAAGGCUGUUGCUAAUAUCAGCGGCUGAUGACGGUACCUGAAGAAUAAGCACCGGCUAACUACGUGCCAGCAGCCGCGGUAAUACGUAGGGUGCGAGCGUUAAUCGGAAUUACUGGGCGUAAGGCGAGCGCAGACGGUUACUUAAGCAGGAUGUGAAAUCCCCGGGCUCAACCUGGGAACUGCGUUCUGAACUGGGUGACUAGAGUGUGUCAGAGGGAGGUAGAAUUCCACGUGUAGCAGUGAAAUGCGUAGAGAUGUGGAGGAAUACCGAUGGCGAAGGCAGCCUCCUGGGAUAACACUGACGUUCAUGCUCGAAAGCGUGGGUAGCAAACAGG
rnacentral:rRNA from 1 species